GACGGAGAUUGGUUCCGCCCGGACCAUAAUUCUCAAACACCGGGAAAUCCGGGAAGGGAAAUCAGGGUUUCAUUGAUCGCAGGUGGAUAGAUGAGCGGGGCGAUCGCGGAUUGGGCAGUGUGAAGAGAAGGAGGAGUAUAAAGAGGGCCUCAGAAAACUGCAGAAGGAGGAGGAAGUUCUUUGUUUUAUUUCAGCUGAUAUGGCGAGUGAGUUGGAGUGUUCGGGCGAGUACAGUGGAAAGAAGGCAGAGAAUAUUGUUGGCUGGGCAAAGACGGAGACAAGGGUUUGGCAGAAACAGAAACCGGGCUGAGUAUAUUGGGAUGUCUACUUAACUGUGAAAUGCUCCAUGGACAUGUGUAAAAAAUUCUGAGUGGUUGAAAACAGGAAGACUCACCGGAAGUAUCGCCGAAGGAGGCCUUUUCGACAGGGCACGUGGCAGCAGGAGAAGUAUCCAGGAGCUGGAAAGAAGAGGGAAAAGAGACCUCGAGUUAGUAACGGUGUGAGUACCCUAAACCAUCGUACAGCAGUAUAAUCAUCUAGAGUGAACUAUCUGUGAGCGUUUUGUGAGUUUGUGGCAUAGUAUGUGAGCGGCCCCACCGUGGAGGAGGAUUGUGGGUGAGCCGGGACCAGUGAGCGAGAGAGGAUGUUGGGGUGUUGUGGCGGCAACGUUUAAAUCUGAAUAUUCGUGGCAUCAGUGUCUUCACGACUUCCAGGAAGAGUCUUUGGUCAGACGGGGUNNNNNNNNNNNNNNNNNNNGCCUGUCGCCCAGAGUGAAGUCCCAGUUAUAUUGGAUGUACUUACCUUUAUGCCCAAAGCUAAAGCCAGCAUAUUGUGUUGUACACUCGCCUGUAUGCUCAAGUGAAGCCCCAGUUGUCUUUCCUACGGACUUACUUGUGCCCCCGAGUGAAGAGCCAGCGGCCCCUCUGUCCACUAUCCGUGUCCAGUCCUGUUACACUUACCUUUAUGCUCUUGUGCAGAUCUAGCGGGUCCCUUUGAAGCGUCUACCUGCAUGUCGACUCGUCACUCAGGAUACAGAGACCGUGGAAACCCCCUCCCGUACACUUACCAGUACGGUUUUAGUUGGAUCCCGGCAGCCCUUGGGCAGUUCCCCCAGCAUCUGGACGACCGGGAGUAUAAUCCGCUGGGUCGCCUUGGAGUUCGUCAAAAGUAGCAGCAGGUAUCCAUUGUGCAUCCGAACUCUCAAUACUUACCACUUGUAUCUGUUACGUCCAGGAAAGGAGAGGGCCCUGGACAGUCGUCCUGCAAGCCAGAACAAAGGGGCACUUGUGAAUAAGCUGAUUGUCGUCACAUAGCCAGAAGGAAAGAGGAGUGAAGGACUCACCUGAGAUCUCCCGUGACGGAGUCUAAGAGACUCGAGACUGUUACUCUCCAAAAGGAGAGUUGGAUUUUAGCCUCCCUUCCCCAUACCCUUUUUUUAGUAAUUUAAUAAAGUUUGUUUUAAUUUACUUACCGGCUCUCGU
ensembl:lncRNA